rnacentral:rRNA from 1 species
UACAGAGGGUGCAAACGUUGUUCGGAUUUACUGGGCGUAAAGCGCGUGUAGGCUGCUUCGCAAGUCGAACGUGAAAUCCCUGGGCUCAACCCAGGAACUGCGUCCGAUACUGGAAGGCUUGAAUCCGGGAGAGGGAUGCGGAAUUCCAGGUGUAGCGGUGAAAUGCGCAGAUAUCAGGAAGAACACCAGCGGCGAAGGCGGUGUUCUGGGCCAGUACUGACGCUGAGGCGCGAAAGCGUGGGGAGCGAACAGG